rnacentral:rRNA from 1 species
UACGUAGGGCGCGAGCGUUGUCCGGAAUUAUUGGGCGUAAAGAGCUCGUAGGCGGCUUGUCACGUCGGGUGUGAAAGCCCGGGGCUUAACCCCGGGUCUGCAUUCGAUACGGGCAGACUAGAGUCCGGCAGGGGAGACUGGAAUUCCUGGUGUAGCGGUGAAAUGCGCAGAUAUCAGGAGGAACACCGGUGGCGAAGGCGGGUCUCUGGGCCGGAACUGACGCUGAGGAGCGGAAAGCGUGGGGAGCGAACAGG